UACAGAGGUCUCAAGCGUUGUUCGGAUUCAUUGGGCGUAAAGGGUGCGUAGGCGGCGCGGGUAAGUCGGGUGUGAAAUCUUGGAGCUUAACUCCGAAACUGCAUUCGAUACUGCCGUGCUUGAGGACUGGAGAGGAGACUGGAAUUUACGGUGUAGCGGUGAAAUGCGUAGAUAUCGUAAGGAAGACCAGUGGCGAAGGCGGGUCUCUGGACAGUUCCUGACGCUGAGGCACGAAGGCCAGGGGGAGCAAACGGG
rnacentral:rRNA from 1 species